GGGAGUCAUCCUUAUGUCGAAAAACAUUUGGAGUUCAAUGCAGGAUUAAAGUGAAGAGUGGGGGAUGGUACCUCUCUUUUGAUUUGGGAGGAUCGCUGGCUAUCCGAUACUAGUCCCUGUAAAAUUUAAUCUCCCAGAAUUAGUGGCGUCUCUUAUGUCUCUGAAUUGUUUCUACCUAAUAGUAAUGCUGACGAGGUCCGAAAGAUUCUCUGUGUGCCCAUUGCCCAUGCUUCCGUUCUCGAUAUGCUGGUCUGGUAGCCUGAUUACUCUAGCUUCUACUCUGUGAGAAGUGGGUACAAAUUGCUUGCUUCAGGCUUGGUCUAUCACUCCAACCAGGUUCU
rnacentral:lncRNA from 1 species